UAUGUCCCUAAAGAGGUUUAAUCAGUGAAUAACAUGUUGUGUCCCUGAUGGCAUUAUUCUUCCUAUUUUUUGCUGUCAUAAUACACUGGGAUUUGGAAGGUCUUGUAGCCAGCAGAGAAAGGAAGACAUUAAUAGCGGGAGCUGCGGCAUCUAGCAGCAGGGACUCUAAGGAGUGUAUGUUAGAACUGGGAGGAGGAGAAAGAAAAUUCGGAAAUCUGCAGCUGUGUCUCCAUUGUCUUGACCAAUAUUCCAAUUAUCUACUCGGAUCUGCUGCAGUGGUGAAAGACAAAGACAAAACACGCUUUCAGCCUGUGCUCACUCAGUGGUGGAACAGUGGUAACGAGAAAAAACUGCAAGUCAUGUAGCUGGAGCAUGCUCAGAAGAUGGAAACCUUGUCUUCAGAUGACCUCAAGCUCCCUAGGAAACAAAAGUUCCCUAACUACAAAACUCAGUAUAAAGAGAAGGGUUCUGGAAGACUCAGGUUGUUGAAAGCCUGCUUCAGGAUAACUGGAGUCAUGCUUCUCAUACUUAUGUAGGAGAUGUUUGCCAAAAAUUAAAGCUGUAUGUGCCCCACUGCACAUCUACUGAAGAAGAAUUGGUGGAGGCAGUGCCAAGAUGGUGCACAAUUCGGGCAUGCAACUCCACAUAUGAGAAAUGCUUUACGAAUGCCACACAUCUCUGUUAUGUAGCAAUGACUGCAUGCCAGGACAACAUUCUACUCCAGAAGGUCCAUGCCAACACAAUAAAGAAGGGAAAUGACAUCUUACUUGUUGGAGUAAAGAAACUGCCAUGCAAACAAUAACAACAGUCAAGUAAGCAGAGAAGCGAUUAAGUAGGAAGAGUUCAUUCUAGCUGACUGACCGUGGUGGACCUAUGAACAUGACUAUGACGUCUCACCCAGACAAAAGGAAACUUUGUUUGAAAUGACGGGGCCAAGUUUCUGCUGUAAAAGUCUUUUUAUAACCAGCUGUCUUUCUACUAUUUAUUACCAGAAAAUGCCAGAGUGAUUCAAUUUCUUUGUUGGUAUCCUUACUAACUUUCAACUCGGGUGCAGCAGAAACUAUUCUGGACUAUUCAGUUUCACAUUCUUAUGUGUGGAGCUACACAUGUAGAAUGAAAAGGCCCAUUUCUCUAUGUCCGUUAUAUUUUUUAAAGAAAUUCUUUGCCUAGAGGUUCAAGAUGACUGAACUGCAACAAUGGAUUUUAAAACAUUUGGACAUUUUUCUGCUGAGUGGGUCCAGAACAAUAAGGGACAAUCUUGAUGGACAUCAGUUUCUCUGUGUUGGUUUCAAGUAUCAUCCUUUUUCUAAGUUUUUUGUGUUGCUUAAGUACUUCGAGAGUUUUUCUUACAUUGGGAGGUUUUCUAUUCUUAAGAGUGAUAAUUCUUCAGGUAAAAAUAUCCUUGAAAAAAAGAUAACCAAAUUGCUGAGUCAAGAUUUAAUCAAUCAAGUAUAACAUGGUAAUUUACUGAAUCAAAUAG
rnacentral:lncRNA from 1 species